UUUCAGUUACUACUUCUAAUAUUGCUAACCUAUUUUGAUACCAUUCACUAAACUACAAAGUACAUAACAUGCAACAUAAUUAAAUUCAAGGAAUAAGUAUUUGAAUUCUGACCAAAACCAUAUUCAAAAAACACCACUAGGAGGAGCUCUUGGUCCAUGGAAAACCUGGAAUAAAUUUGUGAAGUUAACAGUUUGGUUUGUAGACAUGCGAGACAAAUGAGACAAAGACUGUUUGAUGUGGUGUACAGAUAGAAAAUCCUGGUGAAAUGUCUAUUAAACCUGAAAUUAAACCAUUUGCAGUUAUUCUCUUCAUUUUGCACUGAAAAAGAGUCACAGGAAAAACAAGUCACUCAGAGAAUUUAUGGCAGGGAUCUGUUUCAGGGAUAGGUGCCUCAAUUGCACCCUUAAUGUUUGAGUUCCCAUGAUCUUUGAGUCAUCCUUAAGGCUGAGGUGUCAACUAUGAGCUAUCUCAGCCAAGGUGAGAAGGUGAAUGUUUAUUCGGUCUGGGGGUCCUGUUGUUGAUCAGCAACUUUGUCUCUUUGAAGUGUAAAAGAUUCACUAUCAGCCUUUUGGGAGAGCGCCUCUCGAUUCUGUCCAGGGGGCAGUAAAAGACCAUAACUUUGGUGUGGAAAGCUAUUCCCAACGCCUCUCCUGAUCAGGGGAGCCUGCAUUCCUUAGACAAGGUGUCAUACAGUUCAUGGCUGACAGCUGAUUUAUCAGCCCAGAGGGCCAAAAUCACAUCGUCAACAUGAUUUUCAUUCAGCUCAACGCUAUGAGUGAUCAAUGGCCUGGUUGUGUUGGGUCCAUUGGUGUCAUCAAAUUUUCACAAAAAGGUGUCUCUUUUCACGAAUGAGUCAUCGAAAGGCCACGGUCUCUCCACCCCCUGUUGUCAGGUUGUUAGGUGUCAUCUCUUCUAGGGCGAGCCCCACCCCUGCAAGAGUAUGAGGGUAGACGAUUUUUGUCAAAUCUGACCUGGUGUUUUCCACUCUCAGACCAAGGUUGCUUCGGGUUUCGACCUUAAUCAGUUGGCUGAUAUUGGGAAGCCUUCAGAUUCUGGGCUGGUCAGGCGGUUACAGGUUGAGCUGCAUCUAAGUGUGCACCAACUGCACCGCCUUCCAGGUCUACGGGCAUGGACCUUGUGUCCACAGCCAGGACAGUACGAGGUUCAGAUUUCUUAGAAAGGGUGUGCUAUUGUUAAGCAAAGCCUUUUACAGCCAGUUUGCGGAGCUGUCUGCCGUCUAAGGUUUGAGGACAAGCUAUGACACCAAGGUGAUGACUUGUGGUGGGACAGAAGUUUUGAACAAACAAGGUUUUGAAGUUCAGGUCCUCCUCCAUUUCAAGUUCAUUUCUACUACCAAAGUAAGCCUGGCACAGCUGACUGUAGUAUGACUGGGGAGAUUCCUGUCUCUCCUGUUUGACUAACAGUGCAGUGGCUAAGUUAGUCAGCGUUUGUGAGUCAGAGAACUCGACAAUUAAUGCCUGGCACAGCAAGUCAUAGUCAUUCUUGACCUGACGGGGUUGUCAUUCAAUGAAGCUGCUAACCUCUCGAUUGGAGCUAGCUUUGAUCAAGUAGAAUUUGUCAUCCACAAUAGCUCCUGGAAACUUCCUCAAGUAAAAGUCAAUGUCUUUCAAGUACGUGUGUGGCUCUUCUGAACCUUUGCGACCAGGUUUAAAGUGUGUGAUAUUACAAGCCAUUUUGUCUGUGGGAUAUGCUGCUUGACGAGCAGCAGAUGUGGAUUGAACUCGGUAGCUCAGAGAUAGCCUCGUAGGGUUGAGGGAGUAAUGGUCAUGCCGUUGUGAAUGAUACCCAGCAGUUGUUGGCUGGGAGAGAGGCGAGAACGUAUCACCAGGGACAUGUCCGGUGUAAUCAAAGCUUGAUUGACCCAGAUGUCCUUUGGAGACACGACCCAGUUAAAGUGGGGUAUUGGAGCACCUGUUGAUCACUUGGUGAUCUUUGGCCGCUCUGAUCUUGCUGGUGUUGGCCCAUACUAACUUUUCUUGAGUCUUUUCUCCCAGUCCUUUCUCUCAAUGAUGUUAUGCAAGUUUGAGACUUGGUCUAUUAAGGAGGGGUCUGCCUGAUCUUGGGGGGAUAAAGGCUCUGUUUGCAUCUCAGCGAAGCCGUCCUGAGUCUGCUGUAGAAUUCUUUUAUUGUCCUCCAGCUCCACCUUGAGAUCAUCAAUUUCGUUCAUUUGUGCCUAUGGGCUCUAUUUUCAUGCCUGCCGAUGGCACGGCAGAUGGUGGGGAACUCCGCGCAGUGAUAUUUCCAGCCCGGCUCACAGCCAGUUUGGUAUUUUCGUAGACUAAGGCGCACCGAGGUCCACCAAGCUGGGCGUGGUGGCGUGGCAGGGGGAGGUGUCGACAGAAUCAGCUGGCGCAGUGACAUUUUCGUGCUCACCAACGGCAUGGAAAGUGCGCUGAAAGCUUGCCGAUUCAAACCUGGUAAGCUUUCAGUGCAGGCAGAGCACAGCUGGUCUAGUGGUGUUUUGGUAGACCGGCGACGUAAUGCGCAUACAUCACCGGCAGGUUUCAACAGUGUCAGGCACAUUUCAGGGCAAAAAAUAAUCAACAACAGACAAUAUUCUGAGUCAGCAAAUACAUUUAGAUCUGUAGAUAUAUUCUGAUCUAUAUCUGAUCUGAUGAGCGCGUUUGGCACGCGUUUGGACACACAACCUGACCUAAUCAACACAGCUGAAACUGCAUUAAAUUAAAUAUCCAGAAAACAUUCACGCAUGAUGACGUGAACAAGAUAUUUAAUUUAACCAUAUUUACAAUCCCUGCUAACUCUGUGCCUUAAUAUCAAAACUCUCAUGCUUAUAAUCAAGAACUCUGUGUUUGACUUUCUCUUCCUGCAGGUGUACAAUAUCAUUAUUUUUAAGAAGCAUCUCUUUUUUCUUGCUGGUUUCAGUCCAAGUUAAAUUUAACUGUUUGGACUGUGUUGCAACAGGUUGUCUUUGUAUUUACGGUCAUGCAUCUUCUUUCAUUGUUGCAGGAAUGUAAAAAAAAAAUCAACAUAUCUAUUACGCAAUCUAAUUAUGUUGGAGGAGAAUUGCACACAUUGGUAUUGUUACUGAAUUUGCUGUUGUAAGAGUGUGAUUUUGCAGGUUAUAUAUCACGGCUUUAUCUUAAAUGUAUUGAGAGGCUGAUAAAAAUGUGGUUUUAUGUCUGUGUAGGUUCUCAUUCAUCCAGGUCAUGUUAAUCUUUUUCAUAUAAACUACAAACUUUUUCAAGAGGCUCUCUGUAUGUGUGACUAUUGCCAGGCAACUUCCUCUAUACACUUCACAACAUAGUCUGUACCAUGCAGCAUAAAGCAGAUAAAAGAGGAAGUAAAAAAACUAAAAAAAAUGUGAGAAUAUAAGUGGGAACCACCCUGUUAUUUGAGCUGGAAAUGUAGUUUGCGAGAAGAUAGGGUAAGAUAGAUAUAAAUAUACGCUGAUUAUAGAGAUUGUUAUGAAGGGAAGCGUAGCUGCCCUGUCUGUUUAACUCACACACACACACACACACACACGCACGCACACACGCACUAACACUAACACAUAUACACUGGAAAUAACCUAAUGGGUAAAAGAUAUUGUUUAGGGAUACAUUUAGUUGUGUUGUAUGUUGGAGUUGAGUGGGGGAAAUUAAUUUGGGGGUCUAAUUUGGAUUGGCCGGUUAAUUUAUUAGUCAUCCUGAAUCUUUUCCUGUUAAUAACAUUUAUUCGUCAUUACAUUUUCAUCAACAGAGUUUAUUGUUAUAGUAUGCUAAGGGGGGAUUGAUUCGUGGAAGAACAGAGGACUUGCCAGUGGGGAAGUGAUUACAGGUGUGUCUUCAGUGGGUAAUUCGUGUCACCUGUGGAGAAGUGUUAAAGGGGGGACCUGGAUUUCAGGAGGAUGUUCCUCUCCAGAUGCAAGGUCUGGAAAGGUGAGUCAGGAAGAUAUCUCCAUGAGGAGCUCCUAAAACAUAUAAUUGCUACGCCAUUGUCCAGCGUUUCCAUCCUGAUGUGCACAUUCUGACAAUCAUCUUCUCUUCCAGGUUUUUGAACACAUGAAUCUGAAACAGCAGGUCCAGUUUUAGCUCAUCUGAAUACCACCACAUGUCAGGUUUUUGAUGACUGACUUCUUUUAGAUUUUCAUUUUCUGUACAUUGCUAGAGGAAGUGAAACUCAGUCUGUUUCCCACCAAGUUAUAAUUUUGGCUGAUAUUGGUAAUAGGGUUAUUAAAAAUGUUUGACCAUAAUCUAACAUUAGCCUCAGAGCAUUUCAGAAAGCUAAAAACCUCUUUUAAAUCAUGCUCAUCUUCCUCCUCCUCUCCCUGCUCUCCUCUCUCCUCCUGUUAGCUGUCUGAUAGUUUGUACUGCUGUUGCACAGUAUGAUAAAGAUGCAUCAGUUCACCAUUAAAGGGAUAUUCUGGUGUAAAAUUAAGUUAGGGUCAAACACACCGUAACACUGUUGGGUCUAAAACCUACAACAUUUGACUGAAAACAUAUAAAGAAGAGAAAGACAAUGGUUUCUUACUCGAGGAGAAUGGACAGAGAUAGUUUCAGUUACAAUCUCAAAACCAUUCUGAAAGGUAUUUCCGCCCAGUCUCUUUAUUUAGGGUUGUCCCUGGUUACACAAUGUUACUAAAGGAUGGGGGAAAAAUAUGUGCAGCAACGUAAGCACUCUCAUAAAGCACAAUUAUGAACAACAGAAAAUAUGUGAGGGUCAAGGCAACAUUGUUGACAUUAAACAAGCUCUUUCUGAUAGGAGCGGAUCCUCCUCAUUACUUCCCACUAUUCACAGUGGAGGAUACAUCACACACACACACCUGCUGAUAGGAGAAACAAGGUCACAGAGAAGUUAAGAAACAUUCAUGUGCUGUGUAAUAAGGCUAUUGGAGAUAGAAGUUAGAAAACACUCUUAUAUGAUGUGUAACAAGAGGUUAAAACAGUCCAUACUUGUAGCAAACUCUUACAUAAGAAUUUGAGUAAGAUGAUAACUUCUAUAUACAUUUAUACACAUUAUUCUGACAAACACUGAGUUAGACACCCCCUCGAGAGAUGAAUGUUGCCGACUGCUUGCUUCUGUAGUUAUACCAACUUCAGCAACGACUGCAUGAUAGUAAUACACAGCGGUCUACGUCUCCACAUGCAAACCUCAACCAAAGCACCACUCUAUAGCCACAAAUAAUGUUCAGAACAGCACCUAACUUCAUCAACAGUACAUAUAGGGUCCCAACCAUAGUACUAGCCAUCAAACAUCUUUUUAGCUUCCCCUGGUUUCUUUAGCAAAGAGACCAAACACAACUGACCCACUCUCCCCCAGCCGCUGCUUGUUUGUGGGGGAGCCCUGACAAGUUGAUCACGUGCUAUGGAGCCAUUUUUGGUUGGAUCUCUAUUCUGACAUUGGAGCCCUCAAGAGGAUUCCCCUCAAAAUCGGUGUACAAAAUUUUAUGUUGCUGUACAUAUCUAUAGCAAUAUUACAGAUUGUUUUUUGUUUGUUUGUUUGUUUGUUUGUUUUUUUAGACAUUUCAUAGUGCAGUUAAAAAAAACAAGGUGCUGAUUUUGUUGCCGCUCUGGUGUUCCAUCAGGUGUGUACUGAACAAACCUCAGCUGCAUCCCCAUUAAUUAAAAAAGACUUAAAGGCCAUUAACCCGAAAAACGCAUUCCCCUCUGCCACCAGGUUACAGGACUUAUAGGAAACUCCCAGAAUAUGAAAUCUGUAGGGUGCGCUAGAAAGUCUUUUUUUUUUUCCAUAUAUAUAGGGACGCGGUAAAAUACUUGAAUCUUAGACAGGCCAAACCUGCCUGCCAAAUUCCAUUAGUUUUUAAGCACGUCUAGGGGUUUUAAAGUUGAAAAACCUUUAAUAAUAAUAACAAAUAAUAAAUAAUUCCUGCAGUUUCAAUAGGGCUCUUACCCACUGCUUGAAGCAUCGGCUUGGCCCUUAUUAUCAGCCCAGUUGUCACCCAACCCACAGAUUUUCAGACGAUUACAUGAUAUGAGCCCAAACACUGUUAACAAGAAUCCCGGUUAGGUAGAUCUUAUCCUUAAAGUCUGUGUUUGAUUUAAAACUUUGGAUUUUCUGAAGAUACUUCUGGUUCUGUGAUUUUGGCAUAAACUGAUGUACAUACAGGCUCAUGUGACAUGACUGCAUGUU